rnacentral:rRNA from 1 species
GCCUACCAUGGUGGUAACGGGUAACGGGGUGUUAGGGCACGACACCGGAGAGGGAGCCUGAGAAACGGCUACCACAUCCAAGGAUGGCAGCAGGCGCGCAAAUUACCCAAUCCCGACACGGGGAGGUAGUGACAAUAAAUAACAAUACGGGGCUCUUUUGGGUCUCGUAAUUGGAAUGAGUACAAUUUAAAUCUCUUAACGAGGAACAAUUGGAGGGCAAGUCUGGUGCCAGCAGCCGCGGUAAUUCCAGCUCCAAUAGCGUAUAUUAAAGUUGUUGCAGUUAAAAAGCUCGUAGUUGAAUUUCGGGGUCAGCAGGUUGGUCGUGCCUAUGGUAUGAACUGGCUUCGCUGGUCUCUCCUUUCUGAAGAACUGUAAUGCCAUUAAUUUGGUGUUGCAGGGACACAGGACUGUUACUUUGAAAAAAUUAGAGUGUUUAAAGCAGGCUAACGCUUGAAUACAUUAGCAUGGAAUAAUGAAAUAGGACGUUCGAACCUAUUUUGUUGGUUUCUAGGAUUGACGUAAUGAUUAAUAGGGAUAGUUGGGGGCAUUAGUAUUCAAUUGUCAGAGGUGAAAUUCUUGGAUUUAUUGAAGACUGACUACUGCGAAAGCAUUUGCCAAGGAUGUUUUCAUUAAUCAAGAACGAAAGUUAGGGGAUCGAAGACGAUCAGAUACCGUCGUA